rnacentral:rRNA from 1 species
GAUGAACGCUGGCGGCGUGCUUAACACAUGCAAGUCGAACGAAGCACUUUACUUGAUCUUUUCCGAGUGAUUGUUUUGUGACUGAGUGGCGGACGGGUGAGUAACGCGUGGGUAACCUGCCUCACACAGGGGGAUAACAGUUGGAAACGGCUGCUAAUACCGCAUAAGCGCACAGUACCGCAUGGUACGGUGUGAAAAACUCCGGUGGUGUGAGAUGGACCCGCGUCUGAUUAGCUAGUUGGCAGGGCAACGGCCUACCAAGGCGACGAUCAGUAGCCGACCUGAGAGGGUGACCGGCCACAUUGGGACUGAGACACGGCCCAAACUCCUACGGGAGGCAGCAGUGGGGAAUAUUGCACAAUGGGGGAAACCCUGAUGCAGCGACGCCGCGUGAGCGAAGAAGUAUUUCGGUAUGUAAAGCUCUAUCAGCAGGGAAGAAGAAGUGACGGUACCUGACUAAGAAGCACCGGCUAAAUACGUGCCAGCAGCCGCCGUAA